UAACCUGCUAAAUAGUUGCGUCCACUUUGGUGAACGAUCAACUUCUUAGAGGGACUAUAUACAUUUAGUAUAUGGAAGUUUGAGGCAAUAACAGGUCUGUGAUGCCCUUAGAUGUUCUGGGCCGCACGCGCGCUACACUGACAAAGGCAGCGAGUAUUCACCUUGGCCGGAAGGUCUGGGUAAUCUUCUGAAACUUUGUCGUGCUGGGGAUAGUCCCUUGCAAUUAUUGGACUUUAACGAGGAAUGCCUAGUAAGUGCAAGUCAUCAGCUUGCGUUGAUUACGUCCCUGCCCUUUGUACACACCGCCCGUCGCU
rnacentral:rRNA from 1 species